AGCUACAGGCUUAACACAUGCAAGUCGAGGGGCAGCAUGGUCUUAGCUUGCUAAGGCCGAUGGCGACCGGCGCACGGGUGAGUAACACGUAUCCAACCUGCCGUCUACUCUUGGACAGCCUUCUGAAAGGAAGAUUAAUACAAGAUGGCAUCAUGAGUCCGCAUGUUCACAUGAUUAAAGGUAUUCCGGUAGACGAUGGGGAUGCGUUCCAUUAGAUAGUAGGCGGGGUAACGGCCCACCUAGUCUUCGAUGGAUAGGGGUUCUGAGAGGAAGGUCCCCCACAUUGGAACUGAGACACGGUCCAAACUCCUACGGGAGGCAGCAGUGAGGAAUAUUGGUCAAUGGGCGAGAGCCUGAACCAGCCAAGUAGCGUGAAGGAUGACUGCCCUAUGGGUUGUAAACUUCUUUUAUAAAGGAAUAAAGUCGGGUAUGGAUACCCGUUUGCAUGUACUUUAUGAAUAAGGAUCGGCUAACUCCGUGCCAGCAGCCGCGGUAAUACGGAGGAUCCGAGCGUUAUCCGGAUUUAUUGGGUUUAAAGGGAGCGUAGAUGGAUGUUUAAGUCAGUUGUGAAAGUUUGCGGCUCAACCGUAAAAUUGCAGUUGAUACUGGAUAUCUUGAGUGCAGUUGAGGCAGGCGGAAUUCGUGGUGUAGCGGUGAAAUGCUUAGAUAUCACGAAGAACUCCGAUUGCGAAGGCAGCCUGCUAAGCUGCAACUGACAUUGAGGCUCGAAAGUGUGGGCAUCAAACAGGAUUAGAUACCCUGGUAGUCCACACGGUAAACGAUGAAUACUCGCUGUUUGCGAUAUACAGCAAGCGGCCAAGCGAAAGCGUUAAGUAUUCCACCUGGGGAGUACGCCGGCAACGGUGAAACUCAAAGGAAUUGACGGGGGCCCGCACAAGCGGAGGAACAUGUGGUUUAAUUCGAUGAUACGCGAGGAACCUUACCCGGGCUUAAAUUGCAGAUGAAUUACGGUGAAAGCCGUAAGCCGCAAGGCAUCUGUGAAGGUGCUGCAUGGUUGUCGUCAGCUCGUGCCGUGAGGUGUUGGCUUAAGUGCCAUAACGAGCGCAACCCUUGUUGUCAGUUACUAACAGGUCCCGCUGAGGACUCUGACAAGACUGCCAUCGUAAGAUGUGAGGAAGGUGGGGAUGACGUCAAAUCAGCACGGCCCUUACGUCCGGGGCUACACACGUGUUACAAUGGGGGGUACAGAGGGCCGCUACCACGCGAGUGGAUGCCAAUCCCCAAAACCUCUCUCAGUUCGGACUGGAGUCUGCAACCCGACUCCACGAAGCUGGAUUCGCUAGUAAUCGCGCAUCAGCCACGGCGCGGUGAAUACGUUCCCGGGCCUUGUACACACCGCCCGUCAAGCCAUGGGAGCCGGGGGUACCUGAAGUGCGUAACCGCGAGGAGCGCCCUAGGGUAAAACUGGUGACUGGGGCUAAGUCAUAAC
rnacentral:rRNA from 1 species